AAUCAACGCUGGCGGCGUGCCUAACACAUGCAAGUCGAACGCGAAAGCCCCGCAAGGGGUAAGUAGAGUGGCCAACGGGUGAGUAACACGUGGGUGACCUGCCUUCGAGUGGGGGAUAACGUCCCGAAAGGGACGCUAAUACCGCAUGACAUCCUGCUUUUGAAAAAGCGGAGAUCAAAGCUGGGGAUCGCAAGACCUAGCGCUUGAAGAGGGGCCCGCGCCUGAUUAGCUAGUUGGUGAGGUAACGGCUCACCAAGGCGACGAUCAGUAUCCGGCCUGAGAGGGCGGACGGACACACUGGGACUGAGACACGGCCCAGACUCCUACGGGAGGCAGCAGUGGGGAAUUGUUCGCAAUGGGCGCAAGCCUGACGACGCAACGCCGCGGGGAGGACGAAGAUCUUCGGGUCGUAAACUCCUGUCGAGCGGGACGAACGCUUCGCGGAUGAAUAAUCCGCGGAAUUGACGGUACCGCUAAAGGAAGCCCCGGCUAACUCCGUG
rnacentral:rRNA from 1 species